rnacentral:rRNA from 1 species
GAUGAACGCUGGCGGCGUGCUUAACACAUGCAAGUCGAACGGAAAGGCCCAAGCUUGCUUGGGUACUCGAGUGGCGAACGGGUGAGUAACACGUGGGUGAUCUGCCCUGCACUUCGGGAUAAGCCUGGGAAACUGGGUCUAAUACCGGAUAGGACCACAUUUUGGAUGGUGUGGUGGAAAGUUUUUCGGUGUGGGAUGAGCUCGCGGCCUAUCAGCUUGUUGGUGGGGUAAUGGCCUACCAAGGCGUCGACGGGUAGCCGGCCUGAGAGGGUGUACGGCCACAUUGGGACUGAGAUACGGCCCAGACUCCUGCGGGAGGCAGCAGUGGGGAAUAUUGCACAAUGGGCGCAAGCCUGAUGCAGCGACGCCGCGUGGGGGAUGACGGCCUUCGGGUUGUAAACUCCUUUCGCUAGGGACGAAGCGUUUUUGUGACGGUACCUGGAGAAGAAGCACCGGCUAACUACGUG